rnacentral:lncRNA from 1 species
UAAAUUAUGCUUUAUAAAGCAUGCAGGAUUUAGUACAUACUAACUUGCAAAAUCUCUAACUAACUGACUAUUUUACAAAGCAAUGAUAUAUAAUCUAAUAAAAAAUGCAAAACUCAAAAAACAAAAUCCAACAUUCUCAAUGUAUCUUCAACUCUAUUAAACCACUCUAACAUUCUCAAUGUAUCUUCAACUCUAUUAAACCACUCUGCAUUCAUAUCUUGAAUCUACAAAAAAAAUUAAAGCAAAGGACAAUAAACAAAGUUAGAACAUUAUUAAUUUAAAUUCAUAAUUUUCAAGAUAUAAAUACACAUGCAUGAACAAUUGCAUAGUCGAGAUACUUUCAAUAUUACAGUACAGAGAUGCACAAAACGUCAAUUACCAAGCAAAAAUAAACCAACACAUUAAUUGAUGAAAACAAAUUAAAAGCACCCUAAUUGUAUAAUCGAGAUCCAUUUGCUUAAAAAUAACUUUUCCUUUCUUUAUGCACUCCUUUUCAUUUCUGAAUACUUUUUCUCCUAAAUGUUUCAACCGAUUGUCGGUAUGUAAAGUUCAUAGUAGAUUGAUGUUCUUCAACACUUACUCAAAAUUAUGUCUUAACAACAGAAAAAUGAUAUUUUAUGCAUUCCUAUCUAGAGGUCUUCACCAUCCCUCCUAUUCGUGCGACCAUUAUCGUUAAACAAUCUCACAUUUUCAAUUGAUACUUGGAGGGAGAAUUGAGAAGCCAUGAAUGAUGUAAUAUUGUGUAAACGAUAAAACAUUAUAUCUAAAGAGUACUAUUCGCCAAAGUUUAAGAAGGAAUUGAAAGAAUGAUUCUUGAGCUAAUAUAAAAUUUGAUGUAAUUUUUUACCAACUAAUCUGAAUAUACAAAGUUAGAAAUGAAGAAGUAUUAAAAGUUGAUUGAAGUGAGAAGAUAGUAAAAUUAUUUUCUUAAAGAACUUUUGUGUGUGGAUUCUCA